rnacentral:rRNA from 1 species
UACGGAGGGGACUAGCGUUGUUCGGAAUUACUGGGCGUAAAGCGCACGUAGGCGGAUUUGUUAGUCAGGGGUGAAAUCCCGAGGCUCAACCUCGGAACUGCCUUUGAUACUGCAAAUCUCGAGUCCGGAAGAGGUGAGUGGAAUUCCUAGUGUAGAGGUGAAAUUCGUAGAUAUUAGGAAGAACACCAGUGGCGAAGGCGGCUCACUGGUCCGGUACUGACGCUGAGGUGCGAAAGCGUGGGAACAAACAGG